rnacentral:rRNA from 1 species
UACGUAGGGGGCAAGCGUUGUCCGGAAUCAUUGGGCGUAAAGAGCGUGUAGGCGGCUCGAUAAGUCCGCUGUGAAAGUCCAGGGCUCAACCCUGGAAGGCCGGUGGAAACUGUCGGGCUAGAGUCCGGAAGAGGCGAGUGGAAUUCCCGGUGUAGCGGUGAAAUGCGCAGAUAUCGGGAGGAACACCAAUGGCGAAGGCAGCUCGCUGGAACGGUACUGACGCUGAGGCGCGAAAGCGUGGGGAGCAAACAGG